AUAACAAAAUACUUAGCGAAAAUACAAACACAAAAUUAAAAUGCGAUUUCGUUCGCUAAAAUUUAAUAUACUCGGUCUUAUUAUUAUUUUUAUUAUUAUUUAUUUACCCUAUGGCUUCUUAAAGCCGAAAAACGAAUUCCUACAAAUUAAUAUCUAAACGAGUUAUCCAGCUUCCUUUGUUUGAGCUCUGUCAAUUCCUCGGGACCUCCUUCGCGGGCUUUCCGCAAUAAAAUACGUUCAAUUGCCACACCGAGUUUCACUGUAAUCACACGCGGAGUUUUCCUUCAACCGGCAUCCACGGGUUGGUCGUCCACAUUUUCUAACCAGGGGCGUCCUUAUGGGAGGAGGCGAUAAGUGUAAUCGCCCUCCUCCACGGGGGAAGUGGACUUACAUUGGCAUUUGACAUAGUUAUUUGUCCAGAAGUAGAUAUAAUCAAUACAUUAUUUGACAUAAUUUUUUUCUUAUUAAAUGUAAUUGUUCAGGGAAAGUUGAGGUUAAGUAUUAUGUCCCCUAGAUGGCUUAAAAAUACAACCGAAUACGAAUAAUCUUGUAUCGAAACUCAUAGAUUUCAGACGAAUUCCGAGGAAAAGCCUGAUGUGUUGAUUAGAAAUUGACUUUUAAAUUACCAAUUUCCACAGUCGAGUUGGGCAGAGAAGACGAUUUUACUCUUUAUUCGCGAUUUUUAUUUGUUAGGUCCCCUCCCAUUGAAAGUUCCUGGGCAUGCCACCGUUCCACGUAGUCACGUUCUGGAUACGCCCCUGUUCACAACUCCCGCGGUUCACCAAUAACGGUGAAAAACCCGCAAACGGUAACACAAGAGUUAUCGAUCACCUCACUUUUCCCGAGUGUUACGUUUUCCCGUUUGUUUGUCCAGUCUACGGUGUUUAAUCCGAAAUCCGAAUGCAUAAGAACCUUUGCCGCUGUUAACCAUUACGGUAUACUCGACCCUUUCGUAACUACGUUUAACUGUUUUUGAUUGACACUAUAGUUAACAUUACUGAUUGUUUGAUAGCGAUUAUUACGAGGGAAAAAUUAGAAGAAAAAAAAAAAAAAAAAAAAAAAAAAAAAAAAAAAAAAAAAAAAAAAAAAAAAAACAAGGCACUUAGAAGAUUGUUUACUUCAGAAACUACACGUGCGCAAAUUUCAACUUCUAGUAUACGUGUGCGAGUAUGUGUUAUCGAGCUAAAACGACACCGGUGUAUAGUGGCGGCAAUCGAGACGCCGUCUCGUCUACGUGGUUACAGUAAAAUAUACAAUAUACACCGCAGUCUUUUACAAAAUAUGCUGCAUUUCAAUAUCUUAAAGUGAAUAUCGUUCGGAACAUUAGUAUUGAUCGGGUUCGGGAGAAUAUAUUAUGGCCACUGAAUAGUUGUUAUCUUUUUCUGAUCCACGAAUAAUAAUUUAUUCAUUUUCCAUUCCUGAUAGUACCGUAUCAACGACACCGCGGAAACGUGCAAAAUAUUCGGCUCACAAAUAGGCCCGCGAAACGUCGCCCGCCGGUUAUCCGAAAGGGCGCAGUGUACAGUCGAGUGUAGUAUUUCCGAGUGAUUUUCGGGCUUUUAAAGAAACGUUUUUAGAGCAGCCGCGAGACAUUUUUUUUUAUUUUUUUUUUUUAUUGAUCACACCGCGAAAAGUGGGUAAAAGCGGACUUGUACCGGGGGAGUGGUCGAAAUAAUAGCGAUACGAAUAUUAUUUUCUUUUAUCGCAGCCGGUGUGUACGUUCCGUUUCUCGUUUGUACGCCGAUUUCCAUAUACGCCUGUGUACGAUGUACUUACAUAAAGUAUUAUAUUAUAUAGGUAUAUGUGCACAACUAUAAUAUACCCACGUAUUAUUUUAUGAUAAACGAUUAUUAGGCAUGAGAAAACUUAUUUAAAAUACUAAAACUGCUGCUGGGUAGGUAAAUAGUAUAAUGUUAUGUAUUAACCGCGCAGGGUUAAUUUUUUCUUGACAUGAAAAUUAAUUAACAUAAUUUACACGAUAAUUAAGUAUUUUUUUUUUAUCAUUCGCCAAAACAAAACAACAAAAAUAAGAAUAAUAAUAAUGGUAAAAAAAUAUUAUAUAUAUAUAUAUACGCGUUUUUUUUUCCUUCGCGUAAAAGCGGACCUUUAAAGUAAUUUAUCAAAUGAAAUAUCAAAAAAAAAAAAAAAUAAUAAAAAAAAAAAAACUUGUUUUGCGCGACGUAUAUUAUUCGCGUUAUGCGCGUAUACACACUCGUAUACUUGUAGGAGGUACCUGCGAUUACUGUAAUACGUAUUGUACGUAAAAAAAAAAAAAACACGCGUAGAGAAAUACAAACGAUUUUUUAUUUCGAUUCGAAAUACAAUUAAAAUGAAAUUUAGAAAAUAAAAAAAAACCCUGACCGGGUCAGUGUGCAGCGGAACACCUAUAAUAAUAAUAAUAAUAAUCAUACACCGCAGUACGCCGAUUGUACGAACGAAUACACGGCGACUGGGCGGGAAAAUCCUGAAAACGGUUAAUGCUCCCCCGACGACGGCGCGUUUUGUGCCUGCCGACCGUAAAAAAAAAAAAAAAAAAAAAAAAAAAACAAAAAAAAAAUCGCGUUUUCGUCGUAUAGUGGCGAUAAUAAUAUAAUAAUAUAUUUCGUACGUGUUCGUGUAAAACAACAUGCGUACUCGCGGGAACGCGUAUAUGCGAUUGUCGUAUUUUUAUUAUCAUUAUUAUUAUUAUUUAUCGAUUCAGCCUUGAACUUGCGUUGGACCGCGACGGCGUUGCUGUUGUACGGGCGCGCGUUCGAUAUUCACGAACCGCGAACCACUGCACCCAAUACGCCCCCGCACGGCGCACGUUGUUCGGGAACGUUCACUCGGACGGCCGCCGCGCGUGCGAUACCGUACGCGCAUUAACGGCGUAGACGCGCCGAUAACGGUACCGUUAUGCGGCGGUGUGGUACAAUAGGAUAUAUUGUUCUUACGUGGAAAAAAAAAAAAAAAAUUACACUCGUAACUGCGCGUUUUACGUGUCGUACGGUUUUUUCGACAGUAUAACGUUUUUUUCGUACGCAUAGUAUAGUAUUGCGGUGAACCGCGAGCGUUAUCGCGGGGCCCGAACGAGACCGACUGUAUUACGUGUCGCGGAUACGGUAAUACCGAACGAAAUACGCAACGCGGUAAAAUAGCGCGAGUCCCGUACGAAUCGAUACGGGCUGAUUUUCGAAAAGGAAAAAAAAAAAAAGGACGUUUUCAAUAAUGUCGUGAACGAACGGAUUGCGUUUGCGCCGUUACGGCUUCUGUGCAACACCCCGGCUGCACUCGGGCAAUCUCGUUGCACACGAUAACACGCGUCGUCGUCGGUCGAAGAUACUAAUUCGCACUGUCGUAAUCGGAUCCGUGAUGUUCGGGUUGCGCGGCGACGAUCUUCGUAAAAAAACCACGAUCCCCGUCAAGUUUAUCGUUUUACCAUAUUUGACGGGGGGGUGGGGGGAGGUGGGGUAAUAAAUAAUCCGAAACCGUUCGGCGACAAUUAGACCGCGCCGCGAGGCGGGCGGUUUUUCGCGGGUUUUCCGUAUUUUCCGUAAUGAGAACCGUCGGCCACCGCUUUUCGGCAACUCGUCGUGUGACCGGUCCCCGUCUGUGUCACGGCCGUGGCCAGAAUACGCUCGCGGUAAUAUUGCUAUUGAAUUAUCGAGCUGUUAGGAGCUGUUGGAAGCUGCUGUAUGUUGUUGCGAUAGCUAAUGAUAUAGCGGGGUCUUCGGGCACCCCCUGUAUGAUAUCCCGAAUCGCGGUCGUGUCGGCCUAUUCUGUGUGCGUGCGUGCAGGAGUAUAACAAUAUUAUGUCCGUCGUGUAAAUAACUUGCAAUGAAAAUAAAAAAAAAAAAAAACAGUCUCGAAUUAAUUACACCUAUAAUUAAACAUACAAUAAUUACAAUGCAGACGAUGUAGCGGACGGAAACAGACCUGUUAUUUUAUAUUCGAUUUUACAUUGCUACGUUAUAAUUAUUGUUGUUGUGGUUGUUGGCAAUAUAGCAGCGCGUAUUGGAACACUCUCUUGUAAGGCACGAACAUAUUUCGAACGAAACCCGGGCCUUUAUUUCCAAACGUUAGAUAAAUAGAAAAAAAAAAAAAACGACUGUACAAAUGUAAAAUAAAAUAAAAUAAAAAAAAAAUAAAAAAAAAAAAUAGAUAGUAAAUUGCUUAAAUCGAACUUUCCCUGACGACGGUUCAAUACUCGAAGUAAAUAAUUCUGUUUACUACCAACGAUAAUAAUAUUAUAAUAAAUUAUCUCAUCGCGGUUUGGUUGAAUAACCGGCGUCUGUAUUUUCAGCACUUUUUUUUUUUUACGUAUCCGAAGGGUUUUUUUUCCGAUACAUAUCGUAAUCGCUCGAAUUACUUUGUACCGAUAACAAUUAAUCAAUUUUAUACGAUAACCAAUAUUAUAUGUAUACACAUGAGUAUAAUACAACAAAGGCAUGCUUUGUAAACAUUAAAACUAAUGAUAACAUUUUAACGCAGUUUAACCCCAACAUCGACGUUUUGUUUUAGAUUUGAUAACACUAGAGCGCGUGCGCGCAGUGGGCAAUCUGAUACGUUUCAAUAACGCAUAAAAUGUAUGCGGGAAAUAACAAACAGGCGGAUAGGUAUGUCGUAAUCAGGAUCGGGACUUGCGGCCCGUGAAAUCGUCGAAAUAAACAUAAACCGUUAUCUCAGCAACACGGCGACUCCUUCUCGCUGUAGGUAAAAACCAAAAAAAGGUCAAAAGAAAUAAACGCAGGGCUCGAGUAGAAUUUGUGUGGUUUUCAAAAACAAGCGAAUUUAGUAUUCGAGAAUAAUAUUGUUAAAUGACUAAAUUAUUAUAACAUUGUAAUAAUUUAAUGCAUACCUUUUUCGCCAAACAAAGAGUACUGCGCCGCAUAAUGACACGAGAUGUUUCAAUUAAUCAACAUGACGCGCGUUAGAAUAAUAUUUAUGCAUACGCUUUUGGCGUUUGGACUGAACAACAAACGGAAUAAUUAUGUUGAAAAAUUAAAAAAAAAAAAAAAAAAAAAUAAAAAUCGAUUUAGGCCUUUGGUACCCCGGGACCAAAGACAUUAUCCGGGGUUUCGUCGCUGGCUACCGCGCUUGCAGCGCGUGAUCGGUCAAAACGUUGAAAACACCCAGCAAAACUGCAAUAUUGUUUAUAGUAAUUAUAUUACGUGUGCAUAUUGUUUGGACCGUCGAAUUUAGCGCGCUUUGAGCUUUCGCGAUAUAAUUUACACGGGUAGUUCGCGUCAUCGGUUUCGUCUGUUCGGUACGAUCGGCGCAUCUGAGUUGGGCCCCGCGUUCAAUAAUCCACUCUAGUUGGACACCGGAUUUCCGCAGGUUGUACGCUGGUUGAGUCCCCCUAUUUAAUAGUGCCAUAUUAACGCAAUAACUCAUUAGUUAUCGACAAUCGACCGAUAUAAGUAAUGAGCUUAUAAAAAUAAAACUCGAUUUUGUCGAAACGCUUUCUGGUACAUUUUUACACGGGUACAUUUAGUACAUUAGUAUUGAACUGAAUUAAACGGACACGUGUUGUUUUUACAUUUUUACAUUUUUUUUUUUUUUUUAUUAAGUAUAUUAAACUAGUAGGUAUUCAUUGAACGAUCAAAAAAGACCCACCUUUUGAAUGUUUUUCAAAAUAUUAAUUCAUCUGACAAAAAAUGUUUAUAAAACCUGUGUUUUAUUUUAAACUACGAAUCGGUGGCAGUACCGAGUCUGUAAAAUGAGAUGGAAAAUGAAUGUUUGUAUUGCUUGUAAACGUUUGGACCCAACUAGUAUAGUAAACGGAAUUCGUUGGGACCCGCAACCAGUGUAAUACCUACCGAAACCAUUUUGAUCCGCGGCCCAAUUCGGGCCGAUAUGCGGCCGAUACGAUAACGGAAAAAAAAAAAACAAUAGGUACCCGAUAACGCCCAAGUCCGAGUAUGACGAUUAAUAUAGAUUAACGAAAAACGCAAUCAACCGGCGUCUAAACGAAUAUUAAAUAACGCGGCUCAGUGGUCUUCAACCGUUUCGACUAGCGACCCGCUAUGGAUUUGCCGAGACCCGCGUCAGCUUUGUUGUCAGUCGUGGAAAGCUAAAU